rnacentral:rRNA from 2 species
GUCGAACGAACUCUGGUAUUGAUUGGUGCUUGCAUCAUGAUUUACAUUUGAGUGAGUGGCGAACUGGUGAGUAACACGUGGGAAACCUGCCCAGAAGCGGGGGAUAACACCUGGAAACAGAUGCUAAUACCGCAUAACAACUUGGACCGCAUGGUCCGAGUUUGAAAGAUGGCUUCGGCUAUCACUUUUGGAUGGUCCCGCGGCGUAUUAGCUAGAUGGUGAGGUAACGGCUCACCAUGGCAAUGAUACGUAGCCGACCUGAGAGGGUAAUCGGCCACAUUGGGACUGAGACACGGCCCAAACUCCUACGGGAGGCAGCAGUAGGGAAUCUUCCACAAUGGACGAAAGUCUGAUGGAGCAACGCCGCGUGAGUGAAGAAGGGUUUCGGCUCGUAAAACUCUGUUGUUGAAGAAGAACAUAUCUGAGAGUAACUGUUCAGGUAUUGACGGUAUUUAACCAGAAAGCCACGGCUAACUACGUGCCAGCAGCCGCGGUAAUACGUAGGUGGCAAGCGUUGUCCGGAUUUAUUGGGCGUAAAGCGAGCGCAGGCGGUUUUUUAAGUCUGAUGUGAAAGCCUUCGGCUCAACCGAAGAAGUGCAUCGGAAACUGGGAAACUUGAGUGCAGAAGAGGACAGUGGAACUCCAUGUGUAGCGGUGAAAUGCGUAGAUAUAUGGAAGAACACCAGUGGCGAAGGCGGCUGUCUGGUCUGUAACUGACGCUGAGGCUCGAAAGUAUGGGUAGCAAACAGGAUUAGAUACCCUGGUAGUCCAUACCGUAAACGAUGAAUGCUAAGUGUUGGAGGGUUUCCGCCCUUCAGUGCUGCAGCUAACGCAUUAAGCAUUCCGCCUGGGGAGUACGGCCGCAAGGCUGAAACUCAAAGGAAUUGACGGGGGCCCGCACAAGCGGUGGAGCAUGUGGUUUAAUUCGAAGCUACGCGAAGAACCUUACCAGGUCUUGACAUACUAUGCAAAUCUAAGAGAUUAGACGUUCCCUUCGGGGACAUGGAUACAGGUGGUGCAUGGUUGUCGUCAGCUCGUGUCGUGAGAUGUUGGGUUAAGUCCCGCAACGAGCGCAACCCUUAUUAUCAGUUGCCAGCAUUAAGUUGGGCACUCUGGUGAGACUGCCGGUGACAAACCGGAGGAAGGUGGGGAUGACGUCAAAUCAUCAUGCCCCUUAUGACCUGGGCUACACACGUGCUACAAUGGAUGGUACAACGAGUUGCGAACUCGCGAGAGUAAGCUAAUCUCUUAAAGCCAUUCUCAGUUCGGAUUGUAGGCUGCAACUCGCCUACAUGAAGUCGGAAUCGCUAGUAAUCGCGGAUCAGCAUGCCGCGGUGAAUACGUUCCCGGGCCUUGUACACACCGCCCGUCACACCAUGAGAGUUUGUAACACCCAAAGUCGGUGGGGUAACCUUUUAGGAACCAGC